rnacentral:rRNA from 1 species
AGUGAACGCUGGCGGUAGGCCUAACACAUGCAAGUCGAACGGCAGCACAGUAAGAGCUUGCUCUUACGGGUGGCGAGUGGCGGACGGGUGAGGAAUACAUCUGAAUCUACUUUUUCGUGGGGGAUAACGUAGGGAAACUUACGCUAAUACCGCAUACGACCUACGGGUGAAAGCAGGGGAUCUUCGGACCUUGCGCGAUUGAAUGAGCCGAUGUCGGAUUAGCUAGUUGGCGGGGUAAAGGCCCACCAAGGCGACGAUCCGUAGCUGGUCUGAGAGGAUGAUCAGCCACACUGGAACUGAGACACGGUCCAGACUCCUACGGGAGGCAGCAGUGGGGAAUAUUGGACAAUGGGCGCAAGCCUGAUCCAGCCAUACCGCGUGGGUGAAGAGGGCCUUCGGGUUGUAAAGCCCUUUUGUUGGGAAAGAAAAGCAGCAGGUUAAUACCCCGCUGUUCUGACGGUACCCAAAGAAUAAGCACCGGCUAACUUCGUG